CAAAGAAGAAACGAGACGUCACAUCCGGAGUCGUUUGAGUGAGUCGUGCGCCAAAAGAAAAAGUUAUUUUGUCUGAACAGCGAAGAUAUUUCUGAUGUGUACGACAGUGGACAACGGAGAAAUAAUCAUCCUCAGUGAUGAUGAGGAUGAUAAAGAAGACUGCGACAAAUCAUGCAACGAACCCUCAGUUCUUAUUGUGGAGGCGGAAGAUGUGAAGAUAAACGACUGUGAUUUACCCCCCAGUGCUCUGGAUGAAGACCUGGUUGUUACCUUCUCCCGCCGUGCAGAGGUGCUGCCUCAUGCACGAUACGACUGUCCAGUACAUCCGUUCUUGGCUACAGAAAGUGAGGUUGGGGCUCCUGUGGCUGAAAACAAGCUCUUUUGUGAUCAGUGUUUCUGUUACAUCUGUGACAAGCUGGCUUCAACGUGCGAAAUGUGGUAUCACAAAGGUCUGUGUCACAGCAACAGCCACAAAAGAAGCAACUUCUGGAGCCACCUAAGAAACACAGCACUGCUGGGAAGACUCAAGGGUUUCGACCUUACACUUUCUGACAUAGACGCUCACCUCCGACAUGCAGAGGCCAUGCUCCAGAGCUUCAGACAAGAGCUAUCUGCUUGGUUUUUAACUUUCCAGAAGGGAAAGUCGUUUGAGGAGUAUGGUCUGAAGGUACACAACCAGCAAGGUCGCAUCCACGAUUAUACUGAAGUGUACGAGUUUGUGUCAUCAUUUCUGAACAAGGCCGAUGAACAGGACGGCAGAGCUGCAGCCGUCUUGAAUCUAGGAGCUGCUGAGGACUUUAUUAGACAUUUUCAAGUUACAGGGGCUCUAAUCCCACAAUCUCCAACGGCCAAUGCUGCUGAAGCCAAAGGAAUGUUACUGAAAAGGGUGAUAUCAUCGCUGCAGAGACAGAUGGUAAUGGCUGAUUUCACUCCAGAGUUUAUCAACAAACUUCAGGAAUUUUACAAGAGAUUGUCCUUCCCCCACGAGCUAAAGAGCUUGAAGAACAGACUGUGUGUCCGUCCUUGGGAUGACGUCCUGCUGGUGUCGGUGCUGAAGGGACAGAACGUGUCAGGGGUUCGCACAGACAAAGGCAAGAAGGAUGUCCUGAUUGAACAGUUUUCUAUAGUUUUACUGAGAACAGAAGCACUACAGCAGCAGCGCAGGUAUAAAGAAUUGUGCCGCUACCUUCGAGUGGUCCAGACUGAUGAUCCCAAACUUCUCCAGCAGGUACAAGACCUCGUCCCUUUCUUCACGAGUAUGGAGGGGGACUUUACGUCAGCUCUGCACAGAUUCUUCCCCUCAGUUAACGCUCCUGCCUCCCGCCUCACCCCGCCUCUCUUCAUGACUUAUUUCUACAUCUUUAAAUUCGCCACAGCACCGAAGCUGGUGGUCAGCCAGCACGAUCAGAUCUGUUUUCCCGCUGUAGCGUGGGAGCCAAUAAAAGAUGCCAAGCCUCUGAAGCUUGCUGAGCUGGUGAAGUUUGCUCUGAGGGUGCAGAAAUGCUGCUCUGCUGUGUACAAUGAUUCCCAGUGUUGGACCAUUUUACUCAAAGAGGUCAACUCAGCCGCUCUACCAGCACCAAGCCCUCAGUUUCUACAUGAAACAAAGGAUCCUGUGAGUUCGAUACUACUCAACAUGAAUGGGACAAAUAUACAUAUCCCACGGUUCUUUCUGGAGGUGUACCCAGAUCAGGCUUUGUUGCUGUUGGUAACGGGGGCUUUAAGUUUAAGGAUCCUUAACGGGGCUUUGAGUCCGGCCCUCACUUUGCUCAGCACUUUUCAGGAGAAUGUUUGGGCUCUUGAGUGGCUGUGGGAGACUUUGUCCGUAGAGCGCCUCAGCGCCUUCGUACAUGAGGUCACACAGGAGAUAGAAAACACAACAGAUGGGGGAAAUUAUGUACACCUUCUUCGUGCCAUUAUUCCCACUCUGUCGUCUUCAACGGAGAGCUGGGACCAGUGAGUCAUAUUUAACUUAUCACUUUCUGAAACAAAAGCCCCACAAGCUUUUUUGAGCUUAAAAUGUCUCAAGAGACAAGAGUUUGUUUUCUUUCCAUCCUUGUUAGUAAAGUUAGUAAAAGCCUGUGUAUCUGAUCUGUUGCCUUGUUUUCCAUGACCCCCUCCUUAUGUGGUGGUGAGAAGCACUUACUGCAGUCCAGAGGAUAUUAGACUCUUCUCUUCUCGAGGGAAGGUCCCCUCGCAGCCUCAGCAGUUGUAACUAAACCUGAUUUCCACGCUGCAGAUCUUGCCUUUACUGAGGACUCAGCACAACUCCUCUAGAUGUGUCAGAGUUGAAUGAUUGAUGAGUGACAGAUGAAUGAAUAAGUGUUUGGAGCUUCUUUUUUUCAUACAGACAACAGAAUUGUCCAGGAGAGACCAGCAGACAAAUGGACUGACAGAGAUUUGAACAUUAUUAAGUCACUUUAUUUUGUUUAAUACUUAACCGACUUGAUCAGUUUAUGUUCAGGAUGCUGCUGGUCUAAACUGGAUACAAGCUUAAUACUGCACUGUGGGGAACUGUUGGUAUGUAAACUGAAAAGUUGAGUGUUUUAUGAACCAUUGAAAUAAAAUAAUA